CAGAGCGCUGCCCUUGUGACAUCGCACAGAAAGGCUGGUGGAGACCCAAAAACCCUAGGGGUGACGGCACCGGGAGGGGACACACUGCUCUCAGAGCCGCCCCAGCGGGCUGUCCAGUCAGCUUGCCGAAGCCGGAGGGAGCACAGCCUGGCUGCUGAAGCCCUCACCAGACCCUCAUGAGGAGACUAGCGUCCCACGUGAGUGGAGAGGGGUCGUAGCCCUGUCUGAAGCAGACACCCUACAGAAGCGUGUUCACACAGCGGGCUGAUAGGAGCAGGACCUCUGCUGCCUGGCUUCGGAUCCGGGCCGUGAUCUAAUACGAAUCCUUUGUUCUGCAGCUCAAGCAAGGCCUCUACCCAGAGACACCACCGUUGUCCCAGGCCCUGAGGUGCCUGCUGGGAGUGGCGAGCAGUUGCAACCUUUGCUGGAGACGCCUCCCAAGGCUGAUCUAGGUUCAGCUUCUCACGCGAGGACAUCCCUCGUCGGUUCUGUGUGUCCUCUCUGUGUGCUUCUGACGUGGACUCGGUGCUGUAGGCUCCCCGCCCCAGCUAACCAGCCACCAGUCGGGUGUGAAGCUGCACUGAAGGAAGCACAGGCCUGGGAGUGCUGAGCUGCUGCUCCAGCUGAGUCGGGCCUUUGUCCAGGAGGAGCUGGUUGCCAGACUCACAGCCUUGCCAGGCAGAGCCACGGAGAGGACCGAGACCAGGGCGGGUCCUGCAGAUGGAGGAUGGGGACCAGGGCCUGUAUCGAAGUCUGGGGCCCACUGCAGGGAAACCAACCGUUUCAACACAGGGCAUCCAAGAGCUAAGGAUCAGGUGUGGCCAUGCAGGUCAGGGGUGCGUGCUGGAAGUGCUUUCGGGUUACACCAAAGUGUGACAACUGGUCUGUGAUGAGAUGAUUUCAAGCAGUACCCAGGGAUCUGAAAAUAAGGUUGGUGUUGUUUUCUCUUGCACAUCUUUAUUAUCAGCAAUUAUUCAUGAACCUGCAGCACCAUGGCUACCUGUGG
rnacentral:lncRNA from 1 species